rnacentral:lncRNA from 1 species
UGGGAACUUUUCCACCACCACCACCACCAUCAGCCCUGGCCCUCAGCCAGCAUGGCAGGCACUGAGCACGACCCUGGGGACAGCCCUCAGGGACACCUGGCCCCGCACGGUGCUCACUGCUUCUCACAUUUGCUCUCUCCCCUCCAGCAUGCAUUCUGUGCGGCCGGGCAGAUGCUGACCCAGUCAUCUGCGGGCGCACAUUUGACCAGAGUGGGAUUCGCGUCCAUGAGUUCUGCUUGAUGUUUGCCCACAUCGAUUUCGAAGAAAGACCCACACAGCAAGGAACUGUGUGCCUCCCCCUUGCUGCCAUCAGAAGCAAGGUCAAGCAGGCAAACCAGAAGCAAUGCUGUGUUUGUGGGGAGAGGGGAGCCGCCACCACAUGCGUAGAGAGCAGCUGCGAACGGAGCUUCCAUCUGCCCUGCGCUGUGGACGGGGAAUGCGUCACCCAGUUCUAUGGGCAGUUCAGGUCCUUCUGCUGGGAGCACCGCCCUCAACAGGCAAUUCAGGAAGCUCCACCAGAAGACACCAACUGCCUCAUCUGCAUGGAGACCGUGGGGGACAGACUGUCCUACCACACCCUGGUGUGCCCAGCAUGCACACACGCCUGGUUCCAUCGGGGCUGCAUCCAGCAACACGCCACGAAUGCUGGCUUUCUGUGCUUCCAGUGCCCCAGCUGCAGAGACAAAUUUCAGUUCCUUAUGGAAAUGUUCACCAUGGGGAUCCAAAUCCCAGCCAGAAGACCGUCAUGGGAGGACAACGGUGCAUACGCAGCGCUUCUACAAAGGCACCAGCGCUGCGAUGCCAGCACGUGCUCUUACCCUGGAGGCAGAGAGCAGGCAGAAGAAGAGGGGUGAGUUACCGCAGCAGCUCCCUGGGGCUCUGCGGGGGAUCUCAGCCUCACCACAGGCUGGGGGAGCAAGGACUGAGCACCAGGGAUGUGCUGGGCACUCCCUGGCUUCGCUCGCUUGGUCCUCACAGCCACAAACCCUUCGCUUCCCCAGGCCCUGGCAGCUCAUCCUGUGCAGCUCCUGUGCUGCGGAGGGCACCCACCGACAGUGCUCCUACUUGAGCAACACCACAAACUCCUGGGAGUGCGACAGCUGUGCCGGCCUGGGGACCGGUAAGAGGCAAUCAACCACCUGCCACUGGUCGACGG